AAUGAAAGUGUAGGUCGGCACAUAUUAGUCGACUGAGGCAGGAUCCGAUUUUUUCCGGGGCUNANKKKYUNUYUNCYNUMUNCCCGGACGGCGCACUGCCGGCCCGUCUCGACCGCAUCGCCGGUGAGGCGGAGCAAGAGCGUACACGUUGGGACCCGAAAGAUGGUGAACUAUGCCCGGGCAGGACGAAGCCAGAGGAAACUCUGGUGGAGGUCCGUAGCGAUUCUGACGUGCAAAUCGAUCGUCGGACCUGGGUAUAGGGGCGAAAGACUAAUG
rnacentral:rRNA from 1 species